UGACGCUUUACAUUGGACUUCAAGAAAACACAUCAGGGGAUAAAAAUAGUUUCAAAACAGAUUACGGAUAUUAAUUUCUUUAAGAAAAUCAAUGCUGUUGAUGAAAUUAACAUUAAUGCUUUUGCUACUUCUUCUUUGUGGACUAAAUACCCGAGCACAAAGAAAACCAUGUACCAGAGGGUCUUGUGGAACUCUAAGUUGUUGCAGUGGAUAUUAUUGCAGACACGUUGGAGUUGCUCGUCCAAGAUGUUAUGCGCGCACCUGAGUGCUGUUUAUGCUACAAAUUAGCGACGCACAUCUGAAAAAUCUUAUUUACUGGAUAGUCUUAUCAUAAAUUUAUAACAACUUGUAAAACAA